CCCCUAGAUGUUCUGGGCCGCACGCGCGCUACACUGAACAGUUCAACAAGUCUUAACCUUGGCCGAUAGGUCUGGGUAAUCUUUGAACGCUGUUCGUGAUUGGGAUAGACCUUUGCAAUUAUGGGUCUUCAACGAGGAAUUCCUAGUAAACGCAAGUCAUCAGCUUGCAUUGAUUACGUCCCUGCCCUUCGUACACACCGCCCGUCGCACCUACCGAUUGAAUGGUCCGGUGAAAUCUCGGGACGGCGGCUUGGUCGCUUGCGUCCGACUGCUGAAACUUGAUUAAACCAUAUCAUUUAGAGGAAGGUGAAGUCGUANCA
rnacentral:rRNA from 1 species